GUAUCUUGAUCCAUAUUUCGCCAGCAUACAGUUGAGCAGCAUGUGCUCAAUAGACGAGGACCUCUACCUAAUGAGGUGUCCCCUCAUCUGUUUUUAUGCUGUUGAGUACCACUUGCCCCACAGAGUUGCUCGAUAGUUCGGAUUGCGCCAGGAGUUUCCGGUGGAGCCAUUCUCGACUUCAAUAGAACUUCAUAAGUUCGACAGACAGAGACAGAAGAAGGUCACGGACUUCGAGACCCACCACUAUGAUUACAUUGAUGAAUGGGAACAACAAGGGGAUCUUAACUAUGAGAACGACCAGGCGCACACAAACUACAACUUCCGGAGGUAUUUGAUUUGGUAUGCUGGUGUGACUAGGUGCAAGCUGAAGGGACAGUGGACAACUGCAGACUACGCUGAGCAAGAAUCGUCAGACGACGAAGACACAACUUUCGACAUAGCUGCUCGGCACGGGUCCCAAAUUGAGGCUGCUCCAAUCCUUGAUAGAGUGGGAAACUCUAUGCUCGUAUCUGUUGUUGAACUUGAGCGUAUCUCACAGAGAACUUCAGAUAGUACUACGCUAUCGUUAUUAUCAGUGAGUAUCAAUGUCUAAAAGAAAACUUGUUUAUUUGUAUGUUGUAACA